GCUCCAGUGGCGCAAUCGGUCAGCGCGCGGUACUUAUAAGACAGUACGAUGCUUUUAGCAAUGCCGAGGUUGUGAGUUCGAGCCUCACCUGGAGCA
rnacentral:tRNA from 1 species